rnacentral:rRNA from 1 species
GUAGGUGGCAAGCGUUGUCCGGAAUUAUUGGGCGUAAAGCGCGCGCAGGCGGUUCUUUAAGUCUGAUGUGAAAGCCCACGGCUCAACCGUGGAGGGUCAUUGGAAACUGGAGAACUUGAGUACAGAAGAGGAAAGCGGAAUUCCACGUGUAGCGGUGAAAUGCGUAGAGAUGUGGAGGAACACCAGUGGCGAAGGCGGCUUUCUGGUCUGUAACUGACGCUGAGGCGCGAAAGCGUGGUGAGCAAACAGGAUUAGAUACCCUGGUAGUCCACGCCGUAAACGAUGAGUGCUAAGUGUUAGGGGGUUUCCGCCCCUUAGUGCUGCAGCUAACGCAUUAAGCGCUCCGCCUGGGAGUACGGCCGCAAGGCUG